rnacentral:rRNA from 1 species
CAGCCGCCGCGGUAAUGCGUAGGGUGCGAGCGUUAAUCGGAAUUACUGGGCGUAAAGCGUGCGCAGGCGGUUUUGUAAGACAGGCGUGAAAUCCCCGGGCUCAACCUGGGAAUGGCGCUUGUGACUGCAAAGCUAGAGUGCGGCAGAGGGGGAUGGAAUUCCGCGUGUAGCAGUGAAAUGCGUAGAUAUGCGGAGGAACACCGAUGGCGAAGGCAAUCCCCUGGGCCUGCACUGACGUUCAUACACGAAAGCGUGGGGAGCAAACAGGAUUAGAUACCCCGGUAGUCCCUGUCUCUUAUAC